UUUUCUAUUCUUUAUCAUAGUUUAUAUUUUAGCACCUCAUUAUUUCCUUUUAUUUGUGCUAAAAUGGCGUGUCUCUGAACUUUUGUAUGAAACAUAAAUCAUGUGGAUAACGGGAUUUUUUUUGAUUUUUUUUGUUUAUGAGUUACACGUUAGAAACUAACGGACAUACAGGAACAUUACAGCUGAUAGCAUUGCGUGUGAAGGUAAAUGAUUUUUAUUGGUUUGUACAUGUAUGUUAUCAACCGAAUACAAAAUCAACACAAUCAUUUAUAUUACAGAAUUACUACAGUACUUUCUUAAAGGUUCAAUACAAUAUAGUUUUUAACUAAAUUUGUUCAUGUCUGUAUUAAA
rnacentral:lncRNA from 1 species